rnacentral:rRNA from 1 species
AACGAACGCUGGCGGCAGGCCUAACACAUGCAAGUCGAGCGAAGCCUUCGGGCUUAGCGGCGGACGGGUGAGUAACGCGUGGGAACGUGCCCUUUGGUACGGAAUAGCCCCGGGAAACUGGGAGUAAUACCGUAUGUGCCCUUCGGGGGAAAGAUUUAUCGCCAAAGGAUCGGCCCGCGUUGGAUUAGGUAGUUGGUGGGGUAAUGGCCUACCAAGCCGACGAUCCAUAGCUGGUUUGAGAGGAUGAUCAGCCACACUGGGACUGAGACACGGCCCAGACUCCUACGGGAGGCAGCAGUGGGGAAUCUUAGACAAUGGGGGAAACCCUGAUCUAGCCAUGCCGCGUGAUCGAUGAAGGCCUUAGGGUUGUAAAGAUCUCUCAGUGGGGAAGAUAAUGACUGUACCCACAGAAGAAGCCCCGGCUAACUCCGUGCCAGCCGCCGCAGUAAAAC